CGCCACGAAGGAGCCCUCUCCUUCCAGGACUGCGACACCAAAGUCCAGUGCUCCCCCGGGCAUUACUACAACACCAGCGUCCAUCGCUGCAUCCGCUGCGCCGUGGGCACCUACCAGCCGGAUUUUCGGCAGAAUUACUGCAUCGCCUGUCCCGGCAACACCACCACUGACUUUGACGGCUCUACCUCCGUGUCCCAGUGCAAAAGUAAGCGAGCUGGGGGGCAAUGGGUCCCCCAACUACCCGGGGAAUUACCCUGCCAACGUGGAGUGUACCUGGAACAUCAACCCCCCGCCCAAGCGCAAGAUCCUCAUCGUGGUCCCCGAGAUCUUCCUCCCCUCUGAGGACGAGUGCGGCGACGUCUUGGUCAUGCGGAAAAACU